CACGUAGGAGCCAAGCGUUGUCCGGAUUGACUGGGCGUAAAGCGCACGCAGGCGGUCGCGCGCGUGGGGUGUGAAAACUGGCGGCUUAACUGCCAGAGGCCAUCCCAUACGGCGCAACUCGAGCCAUGCAGAGGUCCACGGAAUUGCCGGUGUAGUGGUGAAAUGCGUAGAGAUGCGGCGGAACACCGAUGGCGAAGGCAGCCCCCUGGGCUGAGAUUGACGCUCAGGCACGAAAGCGUGGGGAGCAAACAGG
rnacentral:rRNA from 1 species